rnacentral:rRNA from 1 species
AUUGAACGCUGGCGGCAGGCCUAACACAUGCAAGUCGAGCGAGCGGCGGACGGGUGAGUAAUGUAUGGGGACUGCCCGAUAGAAGGGGAUAACAACUGGAAAAGGUAGAUAAUACCGCAUACUAUAGGAUACCCAAUAUGGGGUUAGCUAGUAGGGGGGGUAAUGUCUCACCUAGCCGACGAUCCCGAGCGGGUCUGAGAGGAGGAUCAGCCAACGUGGGUCAGAGAAACGGCCCAGACUCCUACGGAGGCAGCAGGGGGGAAUAUUGCACAAGGGGCGCAAGCCUGAUGCAGCCAUGCCGCGUGUAUGAAGAAGGCCCUAGGGUUGUAAAGUUCUUUCAGUCGGGAGGCGUUACCGACAGAAGAAGCACCGGCUAACUCCGUGCCAGCAGCCGCGGUAAUAC